CUUGUGUGAAGCUAGGAUUUGAACUUGAUGAUCCCUAUGGGUCUGUUCCAACUCUCAAUAUUCUAUGAUUCUAAUCACCUUACCUGUCUUGAUUUGUAUAGUUUAGAUGUGACCAUCAUCAUCACAGUCCAAACCAGUGGCAAGAUGACCAGCCGAUGUAGUUGUUUUGUGUGAACCCUUCUGCGACAGUCUGUUCCACCUCGGACAGUGUAAUGACAUCUGCAGGUAAAUUGGCUUGUCCUCUGCAGUUGUUUGAUUCCCAAGGAAUUGCAACAGACUUACAGAUUCUUCCCCAGCACAAAGAGUGGGAGGGAGCACCCACCAAGAAGUUAUUCUUACAUUUUCUGCCACCUCCUGUCCUGCCCCAGCCAAUUAAACAGCUGUGUUACAGACUGUUAAAAAGUGACUGUGUUCUGCCCCAGAAGAAGUGACAUUCAGAGAGCUGCAUUCCUAUUCUUUGCAGAGGCAAAAUCACUCAUGAAUCUUAAGCAGCUUUUGCGCAGAAUCAGUUCAACUAAUGAAAAAACAGAGAAGAUUGCUAUAAUCUCUUGAAUCUAAGGAGUAAUAUAGAGCAGUGAUUCCAUCAGGAUAAGGAAGAAAGAAAGACAUGAGAAAGAUGGCCAGGUGUGUUAUGAAUGUUUGCAAUAUACUUCUUUAAAAAAUGUGGGGGAGGGAGAGGUGACACUGUUUGAACAAUGCCAUUAUUUUACACCAUCCUUCUC
rnacentral:lncRNA from 1 species